GGGGGCGAAACGGUUUCGACGGGGACGCGGUUGGUAGAGGUGGCAUGCCGAGGUCCCAUCACCCUCGUAAAACCGGUGGGAAAAACACAACUGCCAACGCUGAAUUGGCACUGGCUGCCUAACUAGCAGCCACGCCUCCCUGGCCUCGCUUACUGGGUAGGGUAAGGCGUCAUACAGGUGAGCUGGCCUCCCUUCUCCGGCCCGGGGGAGGGGGGCGAGAACAAAAGGGCUGGUCGGUGAAUGAACCCUGCCUGUGGGGGUUUUCACCGACGAGAUCAAAACACAGGAUAAGCAUGUAGAGGCUUCUAUGGGCUCGUUCUCGGACGCGGGUUCAAUUCCCGCCGCCUCCACCA
rnacentral:tmRNA from 1 species